GGAUGUACCCUGGGGCGUUGGCUGGCCUCACCUGGGUGGUCCUGAGCUGCGAAGACAGAAGCUGGCCAGAAAAGGUUGCUGGAGGGAUUCUGUGUUAACACACAGCUUUCUCUCACUAGUGUGGAAUCAGGACCCGCUCAUUCUCCUGGAGCUUCACUGUGUGUGUCCAGCACAAGCUCAGCUGUGGGACCUCUAGGCAGGCACCCCCGCGCCCGGGCCCCCCAGGUCAGCACAGACAGGGGCCUAGAGCAGCAGGGAUGCUGUUUGAGAACCAGCCACUUCUCCACCAAAGAGAAGAGUGACCAGCCGCUUCCUCCACCACUGGACCUAAAUGUGAAUUCCGUGUCUGCUUGGAACAGUUUUGCCAAGUCCAGCCCCCUGUGUCUAGUUAUCCAGACAAGCCUUUUCAUCCACUUUUCCUGGUUAUGUGGAAAAUAACCACUCAAAUCAGAUGGA